rnacentral:rRNA from 1 species
UACGAAGGGGGCUAGCGUUGUUCGGAAUUACUGGGCGUAAGGCGCGUGUAGGCGGGUCUUUAAGUCAGGGGUGAAAUGCCAAGGCUCAACCUUGGAACUGCCUUUGAUACUGGAGAUCUUGAGUCCGGGAGAGGUGAGUGGAAUUGCGAGUGUAGAGGUGAAAUUCGUAGAUAUUCGCAAGAACACCAGUGGCGAAGGCGGCUCACUGGCCCGGAACUGACGCUGAGACGCGAAAGCGUGGGGAGCAAACAGG